UUGGCCUAAACGAUAAGAUCUAAAAUGGAACUUCGAAUCAUAUAUAUAUUUAUCAUCAAUUGAACUCAGUGUACUACAUACUCACCACAUUUGUACUCUCUCUCAUGAUUAAUAAAAAGAUAUGAUCAGUCGAUCUUCAGCCGUACUCUGUGCGGAGACAAAAACGUGAACUAAAGGUAUUUUUUAUUAAAGCGAAUUGAAAGUGUCUUAUUAGCUAAAUUACAACUAAAACCUUAAAUUGUAUCAUAACAAUUUGGCGACGAGGAAAACCAGUAUCACCGUAUCGAUACGAUUAAAGCAGUUUUAAAUAAAUAUUGAAAACUGUGGGCAGUAUUCUCUUUGUAUGCGGCGCUCUUGGUGGAGCACUCACUAAACUAGGAAAGCGACCAAAUUCUUUGAUGGAGUGAGAUCCGUUCUAACGCUUAGUUGACAUUCAAAUUCAAGUUAGCUGAGGCCGACAGAAGAGAGCGAAAUCUAAUAAAACUGGAAGUGAGAUACGCAUCGGAUAUCUUCGUGAGAAAGAAGCAAAGAUAAAAGUGAGAAGUGAGAAGCUGUAUGCACUUCUGCAUUAGUCGGUUGGUGCGGCCGAUGAAUCUGUUGCUUGCUGUUGUUGUUGUGAAAUUCUGCUGUUGCUGCUGUUGAAGAGUCAGACGUUUGGUUCAAUCGUUGGGACUUGAAUGCUGGAUCGUUGAAUUUCGUUGGACGGUUAGGAAUAUUCAUCUAGUAGAAAGCACUGCCGAGUAAAUCCGAUCGGUUGUUUGGGACGUAAGUUGCGGUAUCCAUUUCGGUUGGUAACCACGUCACUACGGCACACAAGAAUCAGUUAAAGAUGAUAUACGUUCCCAAACAACGAUCGAAAGUAUACGUCACAAUGAGAGAGGCUGCCGAGAAACGCAAGCGAGGAUCUAUCGAGGACGAAGAUGAAUUCACGGCUUUCCUGAUAUACCGUCGGUCGCUGAAGAUGCGGGGCAUACUAAUAAAAAGUUUGCCCAAACAAGAAGUCCGAUCAUUACUCGAUCUAAAGCAGCCUUGUCUACGAAUUAUAGUGCAUCUGAUUCCUAAAUUUUGUAAAUGGCGUGAAGAAAGAAAUUUUCUAUGAAUUUGGCAUUGUUAUGCUAUCAGAUAAGUUAUUUCAUUUAGUUAUUAUAGAAUUUAUUUGAAAUUGAUGAAUGUUUGCACUACACUGCUAUGUUUAAGAAUGUUUAAUCUAAACUAGUCGAUUCAUGAAUGAAUUGUCUUGAAGAAGGGAGAAUUGUUAUGUUGGCCUAAACGAUAAGAUCUAAAAUGGAACUUCGAAUCAUAUAUAUAUUUAUCAUCAAUUGAACUCAGUGUACUACAUACUUACCACAUUUGUACUCUCUCUCAUGAUUAAUAAAAAGAUAAGAUCAGUCGAUCUUCAGCCGUACUCUGUGCGGAGACAAAAACGUGAACUAAAGGUAUUUUUUAUUAAAGCGAAUUGAAAGUGUCUUAUUAGCUAAAUUACAACUAAAACCUUAAAUUGUAUCAUAACAGCCACAAUAUGCUUUGAAAUGCAAAUAAUGUUUAGGCCAAAUUUGAGCAUAAUUAGUUAUAGAAACCCCCCUGAUAAUAGUAGGACAAAACCUGCCGAAGCCGUCAUUUCCCCUACUGAAUUUCCGCCUAAAACUAAAUCCGCGCGAAGCCCAAAAAUCGUUAUGUAAUUCCACGCCAAAUCCGCGAAAUCCGCGUAGUCGCAACAACCCUGUAUUUGGUAACAAAAUAUAGCAGCCAAACGGGUGUCCUACGAAAGGCUGAAACACAUAAGGCUGAACACUCAUAAGGCUGAACUCAAAAGGCUGAAAUCCCGAAAGGCUUAAAGUCUCAAAAAGCUGAAAGUAUUAGAAGGCUGCAAUAUAUCGAAAGGCUGAAAUUGAUGGAAUGAAAUGAAUUCCAACCAUACGAUAUGUUGUACCAACUAUGUUGAGUAGUUGGAUAGUGAAUAAUGAAUAAAGAAUAAAGAAUAGAGAAUAAAGAAUAACUAAUAAAUAGGAGAAGAAGAAUGGAGAAGGAAGAAAGAUGAAAGAUUGAAGAAAGAACAUAGAAGAAGGAAGAGGGAAAAAGUAAGAUAAAGAUGGAAGAAGGAAUAAUGAUGAAGCAAGAAGAAACAAGGAAGAAGAAAAAAGGAGGAAGAAAAUGGAAGAAGAGAGAGAGAAGACGGAAGAAGAAAGAAGGAAAAAGGAUGAAAGAUUGGAGAAGAAACAUAGAAUAAAGAAGAAUGAUAAAGUAAGAUUAAGAUGGAAGAAUGAAGAAGGAUGAAAGAAGAAGGAGCAAGAAUGAAGAAGAUAAAAGAAAAAAAAAGGAAAAAAGGGAAAAGGAAGGAAAAUUAAGGAAGAAAACAGAACGAAAGAAGAAAGAAAGAUGAAAAACAAGGGACAAGGAAGAAGGAAAAAAGAAAGAAGAAGAAAGGACGAAAGAAAGAAAAGGAAAAAAGGUUGAAAGAAGUAAGUAAGAAGAAAGAAGAAGGUAGAAUGAACAAAGAAUAGACAAAAAGGAAUAAGGAAGAAUAAAUUUGGAAAAGGAAGAAGGUAGAGGAAAGAAGACAGAAAGGGAGGAAAAACAAGGUAAUGAAAAAAGAAAGAAAGAAGAAAAAGAAAAAACACGGAAAAGGAAGAAGGAAGAAAUAAGAAAGCAAAAGGAAUGAAUGAAGAAGGAAGAAGAAGAACAAAGAAAAAUGGAGGAAGAAGAAACCAGAAAAAGAAGGAAGCAAGAAGGAACAAGGAUGGCAGAAGAAGGAAGAAGGAAAUAGGAACAAGAAAGGAGGAAUUAAUAAGGAAGAACUAAGAAGAAAGGUAGAAUGAAGAAGCAAGAAAGAAACAGAAAGAAGAAACUAGAAGGGUUUAAGAAGAAAGAAGGAAAAAUCAUGAAAAUAAAUGGAAUAAAAAAGUAGAAAAAAGAAAAAAAGAAAAAGGAAGUAGGAAGAAAGAAGGGAGAAUAAAGAAGCAAAAAGAAGAAGGGAGAAAAGAGAAGAAAAAGAAUGAAAAAUAAGAAAGUAAUCUUGGCAAGAAUCAAAAACCAAAUAUGUACAAGAACCAAGAACAAAAAAGUCUUGUUCCUUUCUAUGUUACCUCAACAUAGACUAAAAAAUAAGAAUUCCGUAUAAAAAUUGAAAGACAACAAGAAGUUGCAAGAAGGUUGCGGAUCAUUUUGGUUUGUGCUCCUAUUAACGUCAAAUGUGAAUUCUCCCACUAAAAUUGGUUUCAGACGAAUUUUCAGCCUUUCGAGUUUCAACCUUUUGUUAUUUCAGCCUUAUGUGAGAUUUUUACUUUUCAGCCUUUCGUGUUCAGCCUUAUGAGUUUUCAGCCUUAUGUGAUCCAGCCUUUCGUGGAAGACCC